rnacentral:rRNA from 1 species
UCAGCAGCCGCGGUAAUACGUAGGGGGCAAGCGUUGUCCGGAAUUACUGGGCGUAAAGGGCGCGUAGGCGGCCAUUUAAGUGGGGGGUGAAAAGCUACGGCUUAACCGUAGUUCUGCCUUCCAAACUGGAUGGCUGGAGUGCAGGAGAGGGAAGCGGAAUUCCCGGUGGAGCGGUGAAAUGCGUAGAUAUCGGGAGGAACACCAGUGGCGAAGGCGGCUUCCUGGACUGUAACUGACGCUGAGGCGCGAAAGCUGGGGGAGCAAACAGGAUUAGAUACCCUGGUAGUCCCAGCUGUAAACGAUGAAUGCUAGGUGUUGGAGGUAUCGACCCCUCCGGUGCCGGAGUUAACGCAAUAAGCAUUCCGCCUGGGGAGUACGGCCGCAAGGUUGAAACUUAAAGGAAUUGGCGGGGGAU